rnacentral:piRNA from 1 species
UCUGAAUGGGGUUCCUUGUUGUUCUCUGACU